AUUGAACGCUGGCGGCAGGCCUAACACAUGCAAGUCGAACGGUAACAGGAAGAAGCUUGCUUCUUUGCUGACGAGUGGCGGACGGGUGAGUAAUGUCUGGGAAACUGCCUGAUGGAGGGGGAUAACUACUGGAAACGGUAGCUAAUACCGCAUAACGUCGCAAGACCAAAGAGGGGGACCUUCUGGCCUCUUGCCAUCGGAUGUGCCCAGAUGGGAUUAGCUAGUAUGUGGGGUUACGGCUCACCUAGGCGACGAUCCCUAGCUGUUCUGAGAGGAUGACCAGCCACCCUGGAACUGAGACACGGACCAGACUCCUACGGGAGGCAGCAGUGGGGAAUAUUGGACAAUGGGCGCAAGCCUGAUGCAGCCAUGCCGCGUGUAUGAAGAAGGCCUUCGGGUUGUAAAGUACUUUCAGCGGGGAGGAAGGGAGUAAAGUUAAUACCUUUGCUCAUUGACGUUACCCGCAGAAGAAGCACCGGCUAACUCCGUG
rnacentral:rRNA from 1 species